UUCAUUUUACCCUGCAAAGAACAUGGAGCUAAAGUACUGUAUUUUUUUUUUUUUUGAAAGCAAGAAGAAAUUUCUUUCCAGUUUGAACUUCCAAGUGGCAUCCUACUGGCUCAACUCUGGAGAACUCUUCUUAGCCACAUAUGUGUUUGGACUGCAUCUUCCCGGCUUUAUACACACAAAUACAAUGAAAUUGAGCAUAUUUUCUGACAAAUUGGAACACCCUUUUCCAUAUUGAUUAGAAGAGCACACAUUUGGAGAAGAGGAGGCUUGUCCAUCAGAGUUGCAAGAGAGCAGCUGAAUGGAGUGUUCUCUAGCAUAUUCACAGAGAAUGUGCUCGUGUUGACAGCCACUCCUUCCCUGUACUCCAACUCAAAUUUGGCCUUCUUGCCCGGAUGCUUUGCUACUGUGGGAUGCCCAGUUUCCCAGCUCUCUCCAAUCACCACCUGAGCUCUUUUCUCCCAAGUACGUCUCCCUUCAUCUAGAGCAGUGGUUCUUAACCUUCCUAAAGCUGCAACACUUUAACACAGUUACUUAUGUUAUGUUGACCCCAAACAUAAAAUUAUCUUAAUUGCCACUUCAUAAAUGUAAUUUUGCUUCUGUUAUGAAUUGUAAUACAAACAUCUGAUAUACAGGAUACCUGAUAUGUGACCACUGUAAUGAAAAGUCAUCCAACCCACAAAGGGUCUCAAUACACAGGCUCAGAACCAUUGAUCUAGAGGGAUUCCGCUGUGAACUUUAAACUUUGCCUUCGAAGUUCGACUUUGUUACAUGUUUUUCUUUUCAAUUAAGAAAUGACCAAAGAGGCUUUAAGUUUGUAUAACAAUCAUGAAAAAGCGUUUAGUUAGACAUUCCAGGAAAAUGGGAUGGUUCUGUUUGUUUGCAGGUUCCAUCUCCACUGGUAGGUGGCACACACUAUCAGCAUCAUAUAGGGGCUCUCUAAACAGACAGAUCCCUGGGUUACUUCAACAGUCACUGGUCUGGAAUCUGCAUUUUCAACAUGUUUUUGUAGGUGGUUUUUAUGCAUAAUCUAGUGUAUGAACUACUUUAAUUUGUCCCUUUUUGUAAUCUUUUUAUAAGGUCUUCUCUUUCUCAACCAACAACAGGAAAGGACUUGCUAGAGUGUCUAUUUCUGUACAGCUUUUAAGCAAAUGCAGAACCAAAGCAGAUUUGUUAUGCAGUCUUUCUCAUUAAAUCCAAUGUCAAGGAGGAAAUUACUCAUUUUCUUACCCUCCUAGUAAUGAUAUAGAUGUUCUAAUUGGUGGAAUAUUCUGGUCCAGUCUAAUGGAUUUUCCCCCCUCUGUGUAGAGAAAGACUCCUGAUCCAGGAGCAGAGGGGUGUCCUGCCUCUGGUUAGGAGCCAACUAUAUAAUAACUAGCCUGGCACAACUACUCUUAACCCUUUCUUGUUAGAGUUCCCUGGAAGAGAUUAAAACCUUUAGGAAAGGUCUGGUGUGGGUAGUCUGGUAGGUAUAUAAGAAGAAAUGAAUGAAUUAAAGAAGAAUUAAGGUUUGAAUUAUUAGAUACAAAUUUUAACUUCAAAGUGUUUCUGUUUCUUUGGGAGUUUUCCACUAUGGUUAGCCCAUUUUCUUUGGAACCUAGAUAAUAGAAGCAGAUGCCUUGAAUUUAUUAACAUGAUAUGAAGCCCUAUUGUAUGGUCUAGGGAAAGAGUCUUUAAUUUUCUUUUAUUUGAAUAAAUUUGCAUUAUAAGAGCUCCA
rnacentral:lncRNA from 1 species